UUUGUUUUUGGGGUUUGGGGUUUUUUUUGGUGGGAGGACAUGUAGCCAUUGUAAAUCAUCUUAUGGAGGGAGCACUGAUGGGGCUGCCUGCAUCACUGAGUGAGUCCUAGUCAUAGAAAUCACUUUUGAUGUAUAAAUGUGCUCAGUGCUGGCAGGACGCUCUCCUUUUGAAGUGAAGGCAGUAAAUGCACAAAUCAAUCUACCCUGUUAAAUGUAUUAAAAUGAAUUAAAUUUGGCUCAUAAGCAUAUGUUCUGUGAAAAUCAUCUGUUUCUAUACUCUUUGGUUUUGUUAUUUUAGCUUUUUUCCCUUUUAGUUUUCUUUUAAAAACUUUCACUUUAAUUAGAUUGAAUUAGAAGAAAAUAAUUUUUUUGACACUUUAGCCAAAUUAGAUUAGUAUAUAAUUGGGUAACUGGAGACUCUGUGUGUGUGUGUGUAUGUGUGUGUGUGUGUGUGUGUGUCUUGGGUGACAGUAUGAGUUAAAAAUCACUUAAGGAAGAUGGGUGAAUAGAGAUUGGGGAAGAGGUAGGAGCAAACAAAGAUGCUGGUUCUUUACUUACUACUUGCAGACUUGUCCCCAUUGUUUUAGAACAUAGAUCAGUUGACUAUCAAACUUUUGGGGAGCUCAAAACCUUACAUAAUUUAGAUUUGUUUCAAUGUCUGGCUUAUCACUAUGAGUAUAAUUAUCUCAAGGGCUACAUGUGGCCCUUCUGUUCUAUUCACCUUCACAGUGUCUAGCAUGAGAUCCUGUACUUUGUGUUCUCCUAUGCUGAUGGCCAUGACCAAGAUUUACAACAGCUCUAAAAUUCCUACUGUAUUUUGGUACAUUCAGAUGUGGCCUGAGGCAUGUUUUAAGACAAGAAAGGCUCAAUCAAGCAUGACACUAAUUCUGCAUCUAAUAUGAAUCCUCUUAAAUUAAUAGCCAGGAUCUGGAAGUUGUUUCUCCCUCCCAAGACCCAAGGCAAUGGCUAAUUAUUUCAGUGUGAAGGCUGUUAAUGGAGCUGGAAAAGAAAGCCACUGAAAACUGAUUUCUAGGAAACUAAAGUAACUGAAGAAAAUGUCAUUCAAUUAGUUAAGGAAAAUAUAUCUGGCAUCUAGAAGUUACUAUGUCCUGUUAGGUGUUUUCCAUGAAAAGUUAAAUCAGAAAUCAGUCCCUGUUAUCAAUGAUCUCCACCCUAAUGAUCUAUGAGAGACGGUGGCCAUGAGACACAAAAACCUUAUCUCUAAGAGAUGUAAGUAGGAAUCAUGACUUAAAAGAACAUAUACAUUAAACAAUAGGCAGAUCCAUAGGAAGAUAGUCGUGCAUGACCUCUACAAACCACAUAGAAGGUGUUGACUGUUAUUUGAACAUUAUUGUAAGAGUCAACAGAAGAGCAAGAAAGACUUGGAUUUGGUAGGGGUCUUCUACCAGUAGCUUUGGCCACCAAGGCCCUGAACAUGAUUCUUCUGUUGCAGGGAUCAUUGUACAAGAGGAAAAGAUAAGGUGGUAUUCUAAGAUUUGAAUAGUUCCCAGAAUGGAAGCAGAAGAAUUUAUGAAAGCCAUAUCUUGAGAGUGUAGUGAUGAAAGCAACAGAGGAAUUGUGAAGUCUCCUAGUAGAAAGGGUAUUAGGAUCUGCCUGGUAUUUCUAUUUCCUUCACUCCUUUUUUGUGACAAAUAGAUGUUGUCUAUCACCUCACCUGUGGACUCAGGAUCAGCCAGCUUAUUUGACUUCUUAUUUGACUGUUUUCAUUGCAUCAAUGGCAGAUGCCUUUGACUGAUUCAACUGAAGAUACUUUCUGGAUUGUUAACACUUAACUGUGCCUGAGCUCUAGUAACUAAACUAUUUUUUUCCCCCUGCCUGAAGUGGGUUUUGCAAGACUUUGCCUGGGUGACAAUAUUUUGUUACUGACCACAGUCUACCAGAUUGAAUAACCAAGAUAAAAUAGCAAAUGGGAAAGAGCAGCUAGCCUUGGGCCAAAAGCUGGUAGUUUUUGGUUGGAAAACCUGAUUAUGUCAUCCCUUCAAAUAAGCUAGUUGUAAGGAUAUAUUUAACUUAAUGCUAUGUAGCUAUACCACGUUUAACUAUGUGGUAUUCUUUCUAGUAUCCAGGGAGAGAUACCACUCUCUGAAUUUAGACCAAACUUUGGAAUACAGGUUUACAUACCUUUCAUCAGCUGGAGUAUGUAUGUGUGUGCAUGCAUGUAAUUUUUAUUUUUUCAACACCCAUGUUGCUAGCCUUUACUCUUUAAUCAAAACAGCCAGAUAGGCUAUCUCAAGCACAUAUGUAUAUUCUAUGGAACCUCAACUUUUACUUUGCUACUUAUAAGUCACUUACUCUAUUUCAAAUUUAGACUUUCAUCUAGCAACAGGAUAUCAAGCAUUGUCAUCCAUUUCUGCCUACCAGUCAACUUGUUUGAUUUCCAUAAAACAACCAUCUUUGUAUUAGAAGGGUACUUGUUUAUAUAUCCAUUUGAGUGCUUUAUUAAAUUUUCUGCACUGUUUAAAAUAAAUAAAUGGAAGCUAUAAGAAAUUAUUAUGCUAAUAUUAACACAAAGACAGAAUAUGAAGUAGAUCUCAAAGGAGAUGUCCUUUUUGUAUGAUUUGGAGGCAUAUUUGAAAUAAGCUUGUUUAUUACAUGUUUAAUUCAAUGGAAAAAAAUUAUUAUCUAUAAAAUAGUAGUAAGAUAUUGUUGAAUAUUACAUAUCCAAAGGUGAAGUGUUACAAUAGAUGAACUGGAGAGAGCCUAAAAAGCUAUAAUUAAGAUUUCAUAUCAAGAAAACAUUCUGUUGAUCCUCUAGAGGACUUCACAGGCUUAUACAUCAUUCAAUAGAGAUACAUAUUUCUUCAAUCUCUUAAUCAAGAGAAUUAUAAGCCCAGACUUAGCUUUUCUUUAGUCAAUUAUUACCAAAAAUAAUUUAUAUAGAGUAAAAUUGAAAACAGGAAAUCAAUAGAAAUUAAUCAAUAAAACUAAAAGCUGAUUCUUUGAAAAAUAUAAAUAAAAUUGAUAAGCUUCUAGUCAGGCUAAGAAAAAAGAGAGAGGAUAGUAGUUGCUAGUAUCAGAAGUGAAAGAGAUUACUACAGAUCCCUUGGACAUUAAAAGGACAGUAAAAUAAUACUAUGAACAACUCUAUGCCCACAAAUUUGAUAACAGAGAUGAAAUGAUCCAACUCCUUAAAAAAUACAAUUUGCCAAAACUCACAUAAGAAGAAAGAGGCAAACUAAAUAGGCCUAUAUCCAUUAAAGAAAUUGAGAAAUAACCAUCCACAAUAGAAAAUAUCAGGCCCACCUGGUUUGACUGGUAUAUGAUACCAAAUAUUUAAGAAAGAAAUUAUAUUAACUCUCUACAAUAUCCUUCAGAAUACAGAAGUAGAGGAAGUACUUCUGAACUCAUUCAAUAGUCCAGCAUUACCCUAAUACCAUAAUAAGACAAAGACAUACAAGAAAACUAUAUCCAAUAUCUCUUAUAAAUAGAUGCAAAAAUCUUCAGCAAAAUAUUAGUUAAUCAAAUCCAAUAAUGCAUAAAAAGAAUUUACGCAUUACACAAGUAGCAUUUAUCCAAGAUAUGCAAGGUUGAUUCAACAUUUGAAAACCAAUUAAUGUAAUCCAUCAUAUAAAUUAGCUAAAGAAAAAAGACCAUGUAAUCACAUCAAUAGAUGCAGGAAAAUCAUUGGAUAAAUCCAAUACUCAUUUAUGAUAAAAAAUUUCAAAUAAUUAGGACUAGAGAGGACCUUUCUCAACUUAAUUAAGAACAUCUACAAAAAAACUACAGGUAAAAUCACAUUUAAUUGUGAAAAACUCAAAGCCUUCCCACUAAGAUCAGGUAUAAAUCAAGGAUGUCAUUUCUCACCACUUCUUUUCAACAUUGUACUCAGAGUUCUAGCUAAUGAAAUAAGACAGGAAAGGUAAAUAUAAUUAUACGGAUUGGGAAGGAAAAAAAAACUAUCACUCUUCACAGAUGGCAUUCAUCUAUGAAGAUAAUCUGAGAGAACUGACAAAAAACUCCUGGGACUAAUAAGCAAUGAUAAUAAGUUUGCAGGAUACAAGAUUAAUAUAUAAAAAUUCAUUACUUUCUUAAAUACCGGCAAAGAAAAACUGGAAUUUGAAUUAAAAAUACAUUUGCAUUAGAACACAAAGUAAAAAAUUUAGAUAUAAAUCUAGCAAAAUAUGUAUAAGAUAUAUGAAAAAUAUACAAAAUACUAAUGAAUGAAAUUAAAGAAAUAAAUAAAUGGAGAUAUAUUCUAUGCUUAUGGAUAGGAAAAUUCAAUAUAGUCAAGCUGUCAGUUCUUCCCAGCUCAAUCUAUAGAUUCAGUGCAACACUAACCAAAAUCCCAAUUAUUUCAUGGAAUCAAAAAACUCAUGAAGUUUAUAUGGAGAGGCAAAACACUCAGAAUAACCAACACAAUAUUGAGGGAGAAGAACAAAGUUGGAAGAUUGUGACCAGCCCAGCCUUGAGACUUACAAUAAAGCUGUAGUAAUCAAGACAGUACGGUAUUGGUGAAAGAAAGGAAUAGAACAGAGGACUCAGAAAUAGAGUCACAUAAAUAUAGUCAAGUGCUAUUUGACAGAAAAGCAAAAGAAACAUAAAAGAAGCAAAGAUAAUCUUUUCAAUGAAUAGUGCUGGAACAACUGGAUAUCAUGUGUGAUAAAGUGAAUCUAGACACAGACCUUAAGAUCUUCACAAAAAUUAACUCAAAAUGGAUCAUAGACAUAAAUAUAAAAGAAAAAACUAUAAAACUCCUAGAAGAUAACAAAGGAGAAAACCUAGAUGACUUUGGGUAUGGUGAUGACUUUUUAAAUAAAACACCAAGGGCUUGAUUCAUGAAAGAAAUAGUUGGUAAGCUAGACUUCAUUAAAAUUAUAAACUUCUCUGUGAGAGGCAAUGUCAAGAGAAUGAGAAGACAAGCCACAGACUGGAAGAAAAUAUUUGCAAAAGAAACAUCUGAUAAUGGGCUGUUAUCCAAAGUAUACACCCAUCCAAAAAAAAAAAAAAAAAA
rnacentral:lncRNA from 1 species